CCUACGGGUGGCAGCAGUGAGGAAUAUUGGUCAAUGGGCGCUAGCCUGAACCAGCCAAGUAGCGUGAAGGAUGACUGCCCUCUGGGUUGUAAACUUCUUUUAUAUGGGAAUAAAGUGCAGUAUGUAUACUGCUUUGCAUGUACCUUAUUACUAAGGAUCGGCUAACUCCAUGCCAGCAGCCGCGGUAAUACGGAGGAUCCGAGCGUUAUCCGGAUUUAUUGGGUGUAAAGGGAGCGUAGGCGGGUUGGUAAGUCAGUUGUGAAAGUUUGCGGCUCAACCGUAAAAUUGAAGUUGAUACUGGCAGCCUUGAGUACAGGAGAGGUAGGCGGAAUUCGUGGUGUAGCGGUGAAAUGCGUAGAUAGCACGAAGAACUCCGAUUGCGAAGGCAGCCUGCUGGACUGUAACUGACGCUGAUGCUCGAAAGUGUGGGUAUCAAACAGGAUUAGAUACCCGUGUAGUC
rnacentral:rRNA from 1 species